rnacentral:misc_RNA from 1 species
AACGCACAUUGCGCCCCCUAGCACUCUAGAGGGCAUGCCUGUCCGAGCGUCAUUUCAAGCCUCAAGCGCUGUUUCGCUUGGAGUUGGGGCUCUUGCAGCGAGCGCACCGCGCCACUGCAAGCCCUGAAAUACAGUGGCGAGCCUGCCAGCACACCGAGCGCAGUAAUACUACUUCUCGCUCAGGGCGUGCGGGUGCGGCGCAGCCGGACCUCCAAACUUUUACAAAGUUGACCUCGGAUCAGGUAGGACUACCCGCUGAACUUAA